CCUCAUCUGAACUAGAUAUGUCACUAUCUUCCCAAAUCCCUAGUAAUGCACUCUUCUUGAUCCUUUUGGGGUGCUUUUCGAUUAGAGGGCAAUCCAACUGGUAAUGUCCUCUUUUGUUGUAUUGGUAGCAAGUGACAUUUUUUUCUAGUCUUCCUUCUUUAUUUUCUUUCUUCUUUAAGUUUUUCUUCAUGAGAAAAUUUUUGAAUUUUCCUAAAAGUAGAAUUAUAUCAUCAUUCUCAUUCUCUUCUUCUUCAUCUGACUC
rnacentral:lncRNA from 1 species